GAUGAACGCUGGCUACAGGCUUAACACAUGCAAGUCGAGGGGAAACGACGGGGAAGCUUGCUUCCCCGGGCGUCGACCGGCGCACGGGUGAGUAACGCGUAUCCAACCUGCCUCUGACUGAGGGCUAACCCGUCGCAAGUCGGCCUAAUACCUCAUGGUAUCGUCUGCGGGCAUCCAACGACGAUUAAAGAUUUCAUCGGUCAGGGAUGGGGAUGCGUCUGAUUAGCUUGUUGGCGGGGUAACGGCCCACCAAGGCUACGAUCAGUAGGGGUUCUGAGAGGAAGGUCCCCCACAAUGGAACUGAGACACAGUCCAAACUGCUACGGGAGGCAGCAGUGAGGAAUAUUGGGCAAUGGGCGAGAGCCUGAACCAGCCAAGUAGCGUGCAGGAAGACGGCGCUAUGGGUUGUAAACUGCUUUUAGGCGGGGAUAAAGUGAGGGACGGGUCCCUCAUUGCAGGUACCGAAUGAAUAAGGACCGGCUAAUUCCGUG
rnacentral:rRNA from 1 species